UACAGAGGGGGCAAGCGUUGUUCGGAAUUACUGGGCGUAAAGGGCUCGUAGGCGGCCAACUAAGUCGGACGUGAAACCCCUCAGCUUAACUGGGGAACUGCGUCCGAUACUGGAUGGCUUGGAUUUGGGAGAGGGAUGCGGAAUUCCAGGUGUAGCGGUGAAAUGCGUAGAUAUCUGGAAGAACACCGGUGGCGAAGGCGGCGACCUGGUCCAUUACUGACGCUGAGGCGCGACAGCGUGGGGAGCAAACAGG
rnacentral:rRNA from 1 species